rnacentral:rRNA from 1 species
AACGAACGCUGGCGGCAUGCCUAACACAUGCAAGUCGAACGAGACCUUCGGGUCUAGUGGCGCACGGGUGCGUAACGCGUGGGAACCUGCCCUUAGGUUCGGAAUAACUCCCCGAAAGGGGUGCUAAUACCGGAUAAUGUCUUCGGACCAAAGAUUUAUCGCCUUUGGAUUGGCCCGCGUUGGAUUAGCUAGUUGGUAGGGUAAAAGCCUACCAAGGCGACGAUCCAUAGCUGGUCUGAGAGGAUGAUCAGCCACACUGGGACUGAGACACGGCCCAGACUCCUACGGGAGGCAGCAGUGGGGAAUAUUGGAAAAUGGGCGAAAGCCUGAUCCAGCAAUGCCGCGUGAGUGAUGAAGGCCUUAGGGUUGUAAAGCUCUUUUACCCGGGAUGAUAAUGACAGUACCGGGAGAAUAAGCUCCGGCUAACUCCGUG